GUUCUGUGACCCAUGUUUUGGUGAAGUAAUGAUGACACAGGGAUACCCUGCCUCAUGAACGCUGGUGUGACUUCUCUCUUCUGUUCUUACCACUGGACAUGAUGGCUUGAUGAAGUCAGGCCACCUCGCUCUUCUAUGCUCUCAGUUCCAUCUUCUCAACUCGGAAAGCCUGCCAAGCCGGAGGAACUUUCUACUCCAGCAGCAACAGGGAGCAGAUCAGGAGCCUGUAUAGACAUCCCUGCAUGGCUUUUGCACAAGUACAGACUGCCCAGUGACUGUGGUCACCUCCUCCAGACCAUCCCAUUAAGCAUGGGAACACAGAAGGUACAGCUGAGUUCAGAGCCUCUCUUUUGGAUCUGCCUGUCUAGCAGCUACCCUUUGGGGACCAUGCGGGAAUUCAGCUGUUUUGUACAAAGAUCGAGUUAGUUCAGCAGUCAUUCUUCUUACUGAACAAUGAUACAAUGCCCACAAACCUUGCUUGUAAUAAUUUCUUCUUGGUUUUUGUUUUGGCAUGCAAAUGCUUUUAACAUUUGUGUAUAAAUUUAUUUUUUGGCAUCAUCUACAACCCAAAUGUGUGUUUUUGUAUUGUGUAUUAAUGCCUUUCAUCCUACCUUUAACAAUGCAUUUACAAUCAUUUU
ensembl:lncRNA PWRN4 Prader-Willi region non-protein coding RNA 4